rnacentral:rRNA from 1 species
GACAGAGGGGGCAAGCGUUGCUCGGAAUUACUGGGCGUAAAGGGCGCGUAGGCGGAAUGGCAAGUCGGUCGUGAAAUCCUUCGGCUCAACCGAAGAACGUCGAUCGAAACUGCCGUUCUUGAGGAUUGCAGAGGAGACUGGAAUUCCCGGUGUAGCGGUGAAAUGUGUAGAGAUCGGGAGGAACACCGGUGGCGAAGGCGGGUCUCUGGGCAAUUCCUGACGCCGAGGCACGAAAGCGUGGGGAGCAAACAGG